GACUAACUGUACUAGGCAGUCUCACAACACCUCAUCAGUUCCAGCACAUCGUAAGGUUGUUAAUGAUAAUGAUAUUCACAGCGUUGUAAUGUCUUUAUCUUCUUCUCCACAACUGCUUCAACGAAACCGCUGAGACUCUCGCUUCUACCGCCGGUAUCAAGCAACCUCCAAUCGAUCGUUGUGAUAACAUGGACAUGAGAAAAACAAAUAAUGGAUUUGGUACUGGAGAAGAACUCGUUGGAGGCAAUUGAACUAACCGAACAACUUUCUCAAGGCUUGCUUGGUGAAGAACACUUCCAUCUUCUUUGCCUUCGUUUUCUUGAGCUUGUCUGUGCUCCCAAGUGCAGCCCAGAAGCUUUUGAAUUUGCUCGGACAACGUUGGCUCCUUUUGGGAAUGUCCCAAAAUAUGUAGAAAAGAUUCAAGUAAAGUCUGAAUCUUUGUUUCUCUUCUCUAAAUGAUGGAAGCUGUUAAGCUGAAACCUCUUUGUUUCAUAUAUGGCUAGAGAUGGUUUCGGUUUUGCUGUUGCAUGAUAUGAAUAUUGUUAAAGACCAGUUCUGUUUGGUUUAGUUCAUUUCUGUUAUGUAGCGGAAGGUUGUAAUCGAUGUUCUUGGAGAACAUACUUUGCAGACUUAACAAGCUUCAAAUC